GGGGGUAUAGCUCAGUGGUAGAGCACCCGCAUACGUAUCGGAAGGUGGGGGGUUCGACUCCCUCUGCCUCCA
rnacentral:tRNA from 1 species